ACAGUUUCUGGCACCCAACAUAGGACAGCUGAGACACUGCAGUCACACAUGUACCUGCAGAUGAGGUCUUGGGACAACAGACAAAAAGCUGGGAACGAGGUAAAAAUAUUUUACUAAUAUCAGCUCUCCUGGAUCUGUGCCUGGAGUGCCCAGUUGAGAGUGAAAGGUGAGAAGAUGUUUACAAAUACUAGAGAAGCCACCAGUUCCCAGCUGAAGUUGCAUUGCCUGGAGGACCUGAGAUGAGGAGAAAAAUGACUGAGCAAGGUGGAGCAAAGGAGAAGAAAGACAUUUGAAUGUACUGGAUUAAUAUAUUUGGCUUUAUAUUAUACAGAGUUAUAUAGAAUCAUGAAAUGUUUUAUGUCCUAUGUUUUGGAUUGAGAUAUACCUCACAUAAUGACUGGUAAAUCAAUGAUAGUGCUUCAUCAAAUUUCCCCUGUGCAAACAGGAGCGAAGAGAAGCUAUAGUGAGCUCCAAAAAGAAUGCUCCAAGGAAGAUAUCCAGGGACUUAUUAUACUUCACUUUAGAGCUGUGAUAGCAGCUUGCCUGAAUUGAGAUAUUUACCUUUUCAAUUC
rnacentral:lncRNA from 1 species